UGAGGAAUAUUGCGCAAUGGGCGAAAGCCUGACGCAGCGACGCCGCGUGGAGGAUGAAGGUUUUCGGAUUGUAAACUCCUGUUAAGUGGGAAGAAACGACAAAAUAUAAUACAUUUUGUAACUGACGGUACCAUUAAAGAAAGCACCGGCUAACUUCGUGCCAGCAGCCGCGGUAAUACGAGGGGUGCAAGCGUUAUUCGGAAUUAUUGGGCGUAAAGGGUGCGUAGGCGGCGUAUUAAGUCAACUGUUAAAACCUCCAGCCUAACUGGAGAUCAGCAGUAGAUACUGGUAUGCUAGAGGAUGGAAGAGAGAAGUGGAAUUCUUGGAGUAGCGGUGGAAUGCGUAGAUCUCAAGAGGAACACCAAUGGCGAAGGCAGCUUCUUGGUCCAUAUCUGACGCUGAUGCACGAAAGCGUGGGGAGCAAACAGGAUUAGAUACCCUGGUAGUCCACGCCGUAAACGAUGAUCACUAGAUGUUAAUUCUGCUUGCAGAAUUAGUGUCGUAGCUAACGCGUUAAAUCGACCGCCUGGGGGAGUACGGCCGCAAGGUU
rnacentral:rRNA from 1 species